GAUGAACGCUGGCGGCGUGCUUAACACAUGCAAGUCGAACGGUGAAGCAGGAGCUUGCUCCUGUGGAUCAGUGGCGAACGGGUGAGUAACACGUGAGCAAUCUGCCCUGGACUCUGGGAUAAGCGUUGGAAACGACGUCUAAUACCGGAUACGAGGCGUGGGGGCAUCCCCAACGCCUGGAAAGAACUUCGGUCCAGGAUGAGCUCGUGGCCUAUCAGGUAGUUGGUGAGGUAACGGCUCACCAAGCCUACGACGGGUAGCCGGCCUGAGAGGGUGACCGGCCACACUGGGACUGAGACACGGCCCAGACUCCUACGGGAGGCAGCAGUGGGGAAUAUUGCACAAUGGGCGCAAGCCUGAUGCAGCAACGCCGCGUGAGGGACGACGGCCUUCGGGUUGUAAACCUCUUUUAGCAGGGAAGAAGCGAAAGUGACGGUACCUGCGGAAGAAGCACCGGCCAACUACGUGCCAGCCGCCGCCGUAACAC
rnacentral:rRNA from 1 species